UAAUACGUAGGGUGCAAGCGUUAAUCGGAAUUACUGGGCGUAAAGCGUGCGCAGGCGGUCUUGUAAGACAGAUGUGAAAUCCCCGGGCUCAACCUGGGACCUGCAUUUGUGACUGCAAGGCUGGAGUACGGUAGAGGGGGAUGGAAUUCCGCGUGUAGCAGUGAAAUGCGUAGAUAUGCGGAGGAACACCGAUGGCGAAGGCAAUCCCCUGGACCUGUACUGACGCUCAUGCACGAAAGCGUGGGGAGCAAACAGG
rnacentral:rRNA from 1 species